CACGAACGCUGGCGGCAGGCUUAACACAUGCAAGUCGAGCGCCCCGCAAGGGGAGCGGCAGACGGGUGAGUAACGCGUGGGAAUCUACCCAUCUCUACGGAAUAACGCAUGGAAACGUGUGCUAAUACCGUAUACGUCCUUCGGGAGAAAGAUUUAUCGGAGAUGGAUGAGCCCGCGCUGGAUUAGCUAGUUGGUGGGGUAAAGGCCUACCAAGGCGACGAUCCAUAGCUGGUCUGAGAGGAUGAUCAGCCACACUGGGACUGAGACACGGCCCAGACUCCUACGGGAGGCAGCAGUGGGGAAUAUUGGAAAAUGGGCGCAAGCCUGAUCCAGCCAUGCCGCGUGAGUGAUGAAGGCCCUAGGGUUGUAAAGCUCUUUCACCGGUGAAGAUAAUGACGGUAACCGGAGAAGAAGCCCCGGCUAACUUCGUGCCAGCCGCCGCCGUAACA
rnacentral:rRNA from 1 species